rnacentral:rRNA from 1 species
UACGGAAGGGGCUAGCGUUGUUCGGAAUUACUGGGCGUAAAGAGCGCGUAGGCGGCUUACCAAGUUGGGGGUGAAAUCCCGUAGCUCAACUCCGGAACUGCCUUCAAAACUGGUAGGCUCGAGUCCGGAAGAGGGGCGUGGAAUUCCCAGUGUAGAGGUGAAAUUCGUAGAUAUUGGGAAGAACACCGGUGGCGAAGGCGGCGCCCUGGUCCGGUACUGACGCUGAGGCGCGAAAGCGUCGGGAGCAAACGGG